rnacentral:rRNA from 1 species
CCCCACUAUAUGGAGAGAAAAUACAGAUGAAGCACUAAAACCCUCAGGUUAAAANUUAAAGAGCAUGGCGGCGAGCUCAACUUUUCAGGGGAAUUUACCAGAUAAUUGACAACCCUCAAGAAGCCCCUCUCACCCUAAUAGUUUGUAUGCCGCCGUCUUCAGGUGACGCCUAAGGUCUUACCAAAAAUCUAACGGACAAAAGACAGGUCAUGGUGCAGCUAAUGGUUGUGUGCUAGGUGAGUUACAAUAAGAACUAUUUUCAGCUUUAGGCCUUAAAUCUGCCAACAAAAGUAGGACUUGAAAGUAAUUGUUAAGUUAGUACGCACUGAAUGGCUUAUGAGUUCGUGCACAC